rnacentral:tRNA from 1 species
GGUCCCAUAGCUCAACCGGAUAGAGCACCUGCCUUCUAAGCAGGGGGUUUCAGGUUCGAGUCCUGAUGGGAUCACCA